UUUAGAGUUUGAUCCUGGCUCAGAUUGAACGCUGGCGGCAGGCUUAACACAUGCAAGUCGAGCGGUAACAGGGGUAGCUUGCUACCCGCUGACGAGCGGCGGACGGGUGAGUAAUGCUUAGGAAUCUGCCCAGUAGUGGGGGACAACAAUCGGAAACGGUUGCUAAUACCGCAUACGCCCUACGGGGGAAAGCAGGGGAUCUUCGGACCUUGCGCUAUUGGAUGAGCCUAAGUCGGAUUAGCUAGUUGGUAGGGUAAAGGCCUACCAAGGCGACGAUCCGUAGCUGGUCUGAGAGGAUGAUCAGCCACAUCGGGACUGAGACACGGCCCGAACUCCUACGGGAGGCAGCAGUGGGGAAUAUUGGACAAUGGGGGCAACCCUGAUCCAGCCAUGCCGCGUGUGUGAAGAAGGCUUUCGGGUUGUAAAGCACUUUCAGCGAGGAGGAAGGCUCUAAAGCUAAUACCUUUAGGGAUGACGUACUCGCAGAAGAGCACCGCA
rnacentral:rRNA from 1 species